UACGUAGGGGGCAAGCGUUGUCCGGAUUUAUUGGGCGUAAAGAGCGUGUAGGCGGCCAGACAGGUCAGCUGUGAAAACUCGAGGCUCAACCUCGAGACGUCGGUUGAAACCGUCUGGCUAGAGUCCGGAAGAGGAGAGUGGAAUUCCUGGUGUAGCGGUGAAAUGCGCAGAUAUCAGGAGGAACACCAAUGGCGAAAGCAGCUCGCUAGGACGGUACUGACGCUGAGACGCGAAAGCGUGGGGAGCGAACAGG
rnacentral:rRNA from 1 species